rnacentral:Y_RNA from 1 species
GGUUUUUGCAGUGGUGUUUGCAACUAAUUGAUCACAGUUACAGAUUUCUUUGUUCCUUCUCCAUUCACACCGCUUCACUUGACUAGUCUUUU